rnacentral:rRNA from 1 species
CCCUUAGAUGUUCUGGGCCGCACGCGCGCUACACUGAUGCAUUCAACGAGCCUAUCCUUGACCGACAGGUCCGGGUAAUCUUUGAAUCUGCAUCGUGACGGGGAUAGAUUAUUGCAAUUAUUAAUCUUGAACGAGGAAUUCCUAGUAAGCGCAAGUCAACAGCUUGCGUUGAUUACGUCCCUGCCCUUUGUACACACCGCCCGUCGCUACUACUGAUUGGAUGUUUAAGCGAGGUUCUCGAACUGCUAGCGACUUAGCUUCGGUGAGGUCGCAGUGUGGGAAGUGAACCUAGCUUUGGUGUCUAGAGGAAGUAAAAGUCGUAACA